GGGGGGGUUCCCGAGUGGCCAAAGGGAGCAGACUGUAAAUCUGCCGGCACUGCCUUCGAUGGUUCGAAUCCGUCCCCCCCCU
rnacentral:tRNA from 1 species